GCAAGUCGAACGGUAACAGAACUAGCUUGCUAGUUGCUGACGAGUGGCGGACGGGUGAGUAAUGCUUAGGAAUUUGCCCAGUUGAGGGGGAUAACUAUUGGAAACGAUAGCUAAUACCGCAUACGCCCUACGGGGGAAAGGAGGGGACCUUCGGGCCUUCCGCGAUUGGAUAAGCCUAAGUGAGAUUAGCUAGUUGGUGGGGUAAUGGCUCACCAAGGCGACGAUCCCUAGCUGGUUUGAGAGGAUGAUC
rnacentral:rRNA from 1 species